GGCUGUGAGGGCAAUCUGGCUGCAGCAUCUGUCACCCACUGAUGGCCAGGGUUGAUUCUGCUGAUCUGGCUGGCUGGGUGGGUGUCCCCUUCCUCCCUCACCAUCCCAUGUGCAUCCCUCUCGCAGCUGCCCCAGUUGAAGAGGACAGCCACCCUGGGUAGAGGACUGUUACCUUGUUCAGGGGUAUACAAGUAGCUGUGCCCCCCUGCUAUAACCUCCAAACCAGCUCUCGAGAAACAUUAAGAUUCCUACCUUUUAUUCUUUUCCUGGUAGCAUUGACAACAUGCUUGUUGCCA
rnacentral:snRNA from 1 species